rnacentral:rRNA from 1 species
GUGCCAGCCGCCGCGGUAAUACGGAGGGUGCAAGCGUUAAUCGGAAUUACUGGGCGUAAAGCGCACGCAGGCGGUCUGUCAAGUCGGAUGUGAAAUCCCCGGGCUCAACCUGGGAACUGCAUUCGAAACUGGCAGGCUGGAGUCUUGUAGAGGGGGGUAGAAUUCCAGGUGUAGCGGUGAAAUGCGUAGAGAUCUGGAGGAAUACCGGUGGCGAAGGCGGCCCCCUGGACAAAGACUGACGCUCAGGUGCGAAAGCGUGGGGAGCAAACAGGAUUAGAUACCCUGGUAGUCCACGCCGUAAACGAUGUCGAUUUGGAGGUUGUGCCCUUGAGGCGUGGCUUCCGGAGCUAACGCGUUAAAUCGACCGCCUGGGGAGUACGGCCGCAAGGUUAAACUCAAAUGAAUUGACGGGGCCCGCACAAGCGGUGGAGCAUGUGGUUUAAUUCGAUGCAACGCGAAGAACCUUACCUAGGUCUUGACAUCCACAGAACUUUCCAGAGAUGGAUUGGUGCCUUCGGGAACUGUGAGACAGGUG